AUUAGGCCUAGCACUGUGGAAGCCCUAAAUAAUCUCAAUUAUACUAUCCGGCCCGUUCACCUACAAAAGUACUGUGCACUUUAAGUUUCUUUUAUUUUUAUGUUGUGUUUAAUUGAAAAAUACGAUUUCCAUUUUCUUUUUUAUAAUGAUUCAAUGUCUUAAGGAUUUUUUGAAGUGUCCCAUUAAUUUCCUACAUCUCUGUCUACUCCGUGCCGCAGCAGUCGCCGCCACCACCAAAUGAGGUUGCCGUUGAUUUUAAUAAUUCUAUGACCACCGCGCUUCUAUUCGGAAAUUUUGAGCUCCGUCAGAUCUAGAAGUGGCAAGGUUGAUUUGCAGUUUUCUGUUCGUCGAUUCGCCGGGUUCAUAUCAUUGCGGCUAUGUUUAAUUGCUUGGGUUUUCAUUUGUUACUUAUUCACUGUGGUCGGAGCUAUUGUGAUCUUUGAGUUGCAAAGAAGUGCUAAAUCAGAAGCUAGAAACGAGGAAAUGUUGUUAAUACUGGGUCUGAUUAUUUUGUACCAUACGGUGGCAAUUUUGUAACAUAUCGUGCCACUCUAUUUGAAACAAGAGUGGUCUAUACAUUUGAAGUGUCCAUUGUAUUUUUUUGUCUUUUGGUAUAAUUUCUGUUGCAACCGAUGGUCUAUGUAGUUGAAGUGUCGAUGUAACUUUGCACUUAUUCUAAUAAAAAUGACCUUAAAAUUAUAAAGAA